rnacentral:rRNA from 1 species
GGGAUUUGCCUCAGUACGGCGAGUGAAGCGGCAAAAGCUCAAAUUUGAAAUCUAGCACUUUCAGUGUUCGAGUUGUAAUUUGAAGAAGGUAACUUUGGUUUUGGCUCUUGUCUAUGUUCCUUGGAACAGGACGUCACAGAGGGUGAGAAUCCCGUGCGAUGAGAUGCCCAAUUCCAUGUAAAGUGCUUUCGAAGAGUCGAGUUGUUUGGGAAUGCAGCUCUAAGUGGGUGGUAAAUUCCAUCUAAAGCUAAAUAUUGGCGAGAGACCGAUAGCGAACAAGUACAGUGAUGGAAAGAUGAAAAGAACUUUGAAAAGAGAGUGAAAAAGUACGUGAAAUUGUUGAAAGGGAAGGGCUUGAGAUCAGACUUGGUAUUUUGCGUUCCCUUCCUUUUUGGUUGGGUUCCUCGCAGUUUACUGGGCCAGCAUCGGUUUGGAUGGUAGGAUAAUGACAUUGGAAUGUAGCUUUACUUCGGUGAAGUGUUAUAGACUUUGUUGAUACUGCCUAUCUAGACCGAGGACUGCGUCUUUGACUAGGAUGCUGGCGUAAUGAU